rnacentral:rRNA from 1 species
GACGAACGCUGGCGGCGUGCUUAACACAUGCAAGUCGAACGGGAUUUAGUAAACAGAUACCUCGGUGGAAGAUUACUAAUGAGAGUGGCGAACGGGUGAGUAACGCGUGAGCAACCUGCCUAUGACAGUGGGAUAGCCUCGGGAAACCGGGAUUAAUACCGCAUAAAAUCGUAGAAACACAUGUUUUAACGGUCAAAGAUUUAUCGGUCAUAGAUGGGCUCGCGUCUGAUUAGCUAGUUGGUGAGAUAACAGCCCACCAAGGCGACGAUCAGUAGCCGGUCUGAGAGGAAGAACGGCCACAUUGGAACUGAGACACGGUCCAAACUCCUACGGGAGGCAGCAGUGGGGAAUAUUGCAAAAUGGGGGAAACCCUGAUGCAGCGACGCCGCGUGAACGAAGAAGGUAUUCGUAUCGUAAAGUUCUGUACUAUGGGAAGAUAAUGACAGUACCAUAGAAGAAAGCUCCGGCUAAAUACGUG